UGCUAUCAACUCUCACUCUAUCGAAGUCCAACAAGCAGAGUCGAGAGUCGUUGCUGUGGCAAUAGCCAGUUCUGUGAUGAAAUGAAGCACAUUCCAGAUUCAGCUGUUAAGGUCCCUGAUUCAGUUGCAACAUCAGAGA